UCGGCGCGCCUGCACGCUGUGUGCCCGCCGCGCUCCUGGCGUCUCGGGCUCCGAGUGCGGCCGCCUUCCCCGGUGGCUCACCGUCCGGCAGCUGCUGUCCCUGCCUGGCCUGCAGGCAGGCGCAGGGCCGCGUCGUCCCGGGGCUCCGUCGCGGCGUGUCCGCCUCCGCGAGUGUCCUCUCCAGGCCUCGGCUCCCGGAGCGCAGGGUCCGGGAGGCGCCGGAGCCUCGCGGACUCCAGGCGUUUCUCCUUUGGGGAGAAGCUGAAAAGCUUCCGGGAAAGGCCGCAGGUUUGCACGGCGAGGUUAAGAGAAAGAACUUGAGCCAUUGAAAGAAAGCUCCUCUCCCUUCUGAGGGCACCAGUGAAAAUCAGACCUUGCCAUAAUGGCUGAAUGUCGCCGCUCUGGUAGACAGUCUUGGCUGAGCUCCCAGUUGACAGGCAAUGUCAACUGCUGCUAGCCUUGUGAAUGCUUCAUCUUAGACAACCAUGGCCCCCUUGAGCUCUUGGAUGACAGCGGCACAACCAUCUGACUACAACCACACAGCAACCUUCAGACGAGAACUACCCAGCUAAACCCUUCCCCAAUUCCCGACGUGUAAAAUUGAGAGCAAAAUGAAAUGGCCACAGUAAGCCACUGAGGUCAUUUGUUACAUAGCAUUAGGUCAUUUUGUUGCAUAGCAAUAGUAACAAGAGCAUAGGUUUGCUUGGGUAAUUUAUUCUAAUCACAAAGAAAUGUAGCAGUACACUUUCCAGGGGAGGAAUAGAUGGGAUUUAAAUUGUUUUGCAUUCUUAAAAACAUUUCUUCUGAUAGGUUCCUUGUAGAACUCUCAAGCAGAUACAAGGACACAGUCUAGAUUCAAAUAUCUGACUCUGGUUCCAAAAUUUGAUUUGGGAAAUAUAGAUCAGAUCUUAUUAAAUCAACCUUAUAGGAACUGUAUGGAUAUUUUAUAAUACUGAAAAUCUCUGUUUUGGUGUUUUUUAUUUUAUUUUAUUUUAUUUUACAAAACUGGCCUUGAAAAUUUUGUUUCAUUAAACUUAACUUUCACUUAUUCU